CAUGAGAGUGGUGCCUGCACUUACAUGUAUGAAUGCUGCUGCUAGUGCAUACAAGUUCAUUCAACCAAAUAAAGGCUCAGUUUAAACAUAGUAAUUAUUAAGAGCAAGUGAAUUCUGAAGCUACAAAAGUGGCCAUGUUUUCUUGAGGCUUAUUUAUUCUAUAUUAUAGACAGUUUCAAGGUUGCAAGCAUUGUACCCCAAAAAACUUCUGGUCACCUCAUUUCCCAGCUCCCAAUGUCGAAACUGAAAGCACGUUUUCAAGUUCUUUUCAAGGCUGGAAAGCCAUUCAAGAACCUAGAAGUUGAAGGGAGAGAUGCAAACCUUCGGACACAGUCAGAGACGGACAAGUACCUAACACUGACAAGUGCAUCUGUUUUACUGCUUGGUGACAACUCGCUUCUCAUUUGAGGUAUGGGAGAACAGGCUUGCUGGAGAAGUCCUCAUGCGAACACUGCUCAUGAACUGGUUCACUUCGGACGAUGCUCCACGAUUUGACUCACAUCAUUUACCGUGCCUAAGUUCUGUCUAAAUCUGAUCCACUAGUGGGACAAAACUUGACUAUGUUCUGUCCGCCAUGAAGGAUGAGAGGCCCUGCAGACUAUCGGCAAUAAAGAAGUGAGCUGCAGACCUGAAAGCUGAAUCCUUGCAUACACAGUAAUGCAGUUCACUAACACACAAGCACAUCAA
rnacentral:lncRNA from 1 species